ACGAACGCUGGCGGCGUGCUUAACACAUUCAAGUCGAACGGAAAGGCCCUUCUUUUUGGGGGUUCUCGGGUGGCGAACGGGAUAGUAACACGUUAGUAACCUUCCCUUUACUUUGGGGUAACUUCAGGAAACUUGGGCUAAAACCGGAUAGGGACUCCUUCUUCAAUGGGGGGGUUGGAAAGUUUCGGCGGUUGGGGAUGGACUCGCGGCUUAUCAGCUUGUUGGUGGGGUAGUGGCUUACCAAGGCUUUGACGGGUAGCCGGCCUGAGAGGGUGACCGGCCACAUUGGGACUGAGAUACGGCCCAGACUCCUACGGGAGGCAGCAGUGGGGAAUAUUGCACAAUGGGCGGAAGCCUGAUGCAGCAACGCCGCGUGCGGGAUGACGGCCUUCGGGUUGUAAACCGCUUUCGCCUGUGACGAAGCGUGAGUGACGGUAAUGGGUAAAGAAGCACCGGCUAACUACGUG
rnacentral:rRNA from 1 species